GAUGAACGCUGGCGGCGUGCUUAACACAUGCAAGUCGAACGGAAAGGCCCAAGCUUGCUUGGGUACUCGAGUGGCGAACGGGUGAGUAACACGUGGGUGAUCUGCCCUGCACUUCGGGAUAAGCCUGGGAAACUGGGUCUAAUACCGGAUAGGACCACUUCUUGGAUGUUGUGGUGGAAAGUUUUUUCGGUGUGGGAUGAGCUCGCGGCCUAUCAGCUUGUUGGUGGGGUAAUGGCCUACCAAGGCGUCGACGGGUAGCCGGCCUGAGAGGGUGUACGGCCACAUUGGGACUGAGAUACGGCCCAGACUCCUACGGGAGGCAGCAGUGGGGAAUAUUGCACAAUGGGCGCAAGCCUGAUGCAGCGACGCCGCGUGGGGGAUGACGGCCUUCGGGUUGUAAGCUCCUUUCGCUAGGGACGAAGCGUUUUGUGACGGUACCUGGAGAAGAAGCACCGGCUAACUACGUG
rnacentral:rRNA from 1 species